UAGAACUAUAUAAUAGGAUUUUGAAAAUCUGCAUUAGAGAAAAUUUCUCUUAGUUCUG
rnacentral:tRNA from 1 species